GAUGAACGCUGGCGGCGUGCCUAAUACAUGCCAGUCGAGCGAACGGACGAGAAGCUUGCUUCUCUGAUGUUAGCGGCGGACGGGUGAGUAACACGUGGAUAACCUACCUAUAAGACUGGGAUAACUUCGGGAAACCGUAGCUAAUACCGGAUAAUAUUUUGAACCGCAUGGUUCAAAAGUGAAAGACGGUCUUGCUGUCACUUAUAGAUGGAUCCGCGCUGCAUUAGCUAGUUGGUAAGGUAACGGCUUACCAAGGCAACGAUGCAUAGCCGACCUGAGAGGGUGAUCGGCCACACUGGAACUGAGACACGGUCCAGACUCCUACGGGAGGCAGCAGUAGGGAAUCUUCCGCAAUGGGCGAAAGCCUGACGGAGCAACGCCGCGUGAGUGAUGGAGGUCUUCGGAUCGUAAAACUCUGUUAUUAGGGAAGAACAUAUGUGUAAGUAACUGUGCACAUCUUGACGGUACCUAAUCAGAAAGCCACGGCUAACUACGUG
rnacentral:rRNA from 1 species